GCCGAAAUAGCUCAGUUGGGAGAGCGUUAGACUGAAGAUCUAAAGGUCCCUGGUUAGGUCCCUGGUUCGAUCCCGGGUUUCGGCA